rnacentral:lncRNA from 1 species
GCAAUGGCAGAUUGGGACCUACCACUGGAGGUAUGGGUAGCCCUGAAAUCGGAGGAAGGGGUAGCUUAGGGACGGUCACUGGAGGAACGGGUAGCUUAGGUACAGUUACCGGGGGAACGGGUAGCUUAGGGACUGUCACUGGAGGAACGGGUAGCUUGGGGACGGUCACUGGAGGAACGGGUAGCUUGGGGACGGUCACAGGAGGAACGGGUAGCUUAGGUACAGUCACUGGUGGAACGGGUAGCUUAGGGAUGGUCACAGGAGGAACGGGUAGCUUAGGGACGGUCACCGGAGGGACUGGUAGCUUAGGGACGGUCACCGGAGGAACUGGUAGCUUAGGGACGGUCACCGGAGGAACUGGUAGCUUAGGGGCUUUAGGGGAGUGCUUUCCGCCCUUCCGUGGGUUGCAAGAGCCGCAUGCGAGAGAAUGUUGGGGGAGAUAGAUAAUGCAAAUGAGGAAGAGGCAAAGAGAGAGAGAUGAGAGUUUGGAGGAGUCCAUGUUGAGUAGAGUGGAUGGUGUAACUAUACGAAAGAGUAUAUGAAUAUAUAGAGGGAAAAUGAGAAGAAGAAUUCACGUGAAGAUGGGGGCUACUUCUGCAAUAAGAAGAGACGCCCCAAAAUAAGCAUGGUUGGCAAUUAUCAUAAGAAUACAAGAUUUCCUUGAUGACCCAUCGCUAUAUAUCAUCACAUGUCGACCACACUUUUUUCACUUUUUUUUUUCUAAGUGCCUCUUGUUCUUGGGUUAACUACAACUUUUAACAACGUGUAACUUCAGUUUCAACAGUACAGUACAUUUAACUUGUAGGAAUUGUAAUGAAUCAACUUAGCGAGACUAGGUCAUUAUGAGAUAUCAUCAAUACUAAAUAACAUUUUGAUGAUGUAAACACUCUAGGAAAAGCAGAUAAUAUAGUAUCAUAUGGUUUUCGCUUUAGUGUGUGGCUUCAUAAGCAUCUCCAUGCAUGAGUCGACUGCUAAGGAACAUAUAGAUCUGCACCAUAGUGAAGACGGCUUAGUCUAUUCAAAACACUAAUGUUGUGCCUUUCGAGGACCUCCCGAGACUCGAAUUCGAAUGCACUCUCCAAAGGUAUUAUGUUAGGGAAAAAACCUUAUUAAACCAAAUAUGUUACUGUUUAACCCAUACACGAAAAUUAGAUAUAUAAAUGUUGAACAAAUAGCAUAUAGUUAUAUCCAAUAUAUACGUACAUGAGAGGUAAAGAAGACAGCAAGACUGACAUGUGAAAUUCGGGAUACACUUUUGUUGUUUGGUGAUUUUGUUACGUAGUGUCAUUAAAGAAACGAUCAUGUGUGCGUGGACCAUCUUCUUCUUUUUACCGCUCAUUUCCCUUUUUACCAUAUCUACUACAAAAGAGUCCGAACUGACCAUUUAAUGAACGAGUACCAUUCAAUUCAUAAACUCCCCGUAUCAAUCUAACUGACACUGUAAAAGUUAUAAUGUUAAUAUAUAAAAAUAAUAUGGUUAUUUAGCAUGAAUAAUAACUUUUUAUAAUUGAGAGUAUGUCUAGCUAACAUUGGUGAUUGGUGCUUACAUAAAUCAUAUUUUUCAAACCACUUAACAAGAACUUUACAUAUUCAAUGAUAAACGAAUCACAUUUAUACAAUAUACCAUUCAAAAAUAAUAUUGUAAGAUGAUUUGAAAUUAAACGAUUGUAAUAUAUAAUGUGUUAAAAGUAAUGUAUUAUAGAUAUCUUGUAAUUAUUUAAAGGGUUUUGUGCAAAAAAAAAAACCACUAACUCAUACAUUUUUCCAAUUUACUAUCCAGCUCUAAUAAAUGCACAUUAAUCCUAUGAAUCUAAAAUAAUACGCAUUGUAACCCUUUUUGACCAUUUUUUGCUACCAUCAAUUUUGUAAAAUAUUGAUAUAUAAUAUGUUAAAUCAAAGCUCUCGCGACCAAGAGUUCAACUCUACCUUUAAAAAUUUUAAAAUGUAAUGUAUGUAACCGUAAAAACGCUUGUAAUAUGCAUAUGAAAUUUAUAUUACAUAUUAUGUUAAACUUCAUAAGAUUAAUCUGCAUUUGUUGGUAGUGCAUUUGUUAGAGGUGGAAGGUAAUGUUGCAAAAAUAGAUGAGUUAAAAGAUUUCUUUUUGCACAAAACCCUUUAUUUAAACUACUAACAAUAUAAUAUAUAAAUAAUUUAAAACAUAUAUCUCUAUAAUUCAUGAAGUAAUAAUGGUGUACCCUAUCCUUACCAACGAAUAAUAAAGAAAUGAUAUUAACUCUGAUUCAAAAGCUAUAUAUAAGAUAUUCUUUUUUUUUCCUCGGGAGGGAUACGAAUCCGGUAACAUGAAUCAGUGUCCAAUAAGAGCCAGUGGUCGUAAAUUCCAAAUGACAGAUGGAUGACUCAUUUUAAUUCGUAACUUUUGUCAGCUGCGAUAUAUGCUAAUGAAACCUGAGGUGCUAGAUUUUGAUUUUAAUGGCUUUAGAUUCUUACUCAACACUCAAUGGCCCACUCGUUAAUCUCUUACCUUCUAAAGUGAGUUAUGAUCCACUGCUUCUUUCUUCUUGUAGAUAGAUGGACCUGUUUUUUUUAGGUUGUGAUUUGUGGACAUUAAUCAACAACCCAUGUUUAUACGUGAUAAUGUCUGGAGCUAUAUGUAAAGGCGAUAUGGAGGACAACAUUCCUCUAUUCUAACUUUAAAAGCCAUGUAGUUAGGGCUGGACACCAAUAUUCUUUUUUUUUUUGCUAAAUUGUAAAUAUCAUUUUGAUGAAAAAUCAGGUUUUACAACAGUUGUAUAACCUAAAACAUUUGAACUCUUUGGCAAAAAAGAAUAAAAAAACGAAGAGCCAAUCGAGAGCUGCAUAGAACUCGGUAGUUUCAUAGCAGCCACAACGCUAUUAACUUGCGAAAAAGGAGUCUGUUUCUUCUUGAGGUGAUAACGUUUUUGAUUUUGCGGUUGAUGCACUUGAAUAUAGAAUGCGGAGAGAGGGAAGUAGCGUUGUGCAGGACAUUGUUAGGCUGCUUCAAGAUGUGGAAGACCUUAGACUGAACGACAAUAAUUUUAAGAACUGAUGAAGCCAAUAUUCAUCAUUUUCAAACAAAAAAUAUCUUUUGUUUGACACCAAUAUCCUUGACCAGCUUCAAACAAAGGAUAUACAUCAUUUUUAAGUCGGGUAAGGCAAAUGAGUAUAAGGAUUCUCAUUACACAUCUGGUUGCCAAAAACUUUUAGUCAAAUACUAGUUACAAUCUCAGUUUUUUACCCCAAACUUUUUGCCACUUAAAAAACUAGGGGUGGGCAUUCGGGUAAGCGGGUCGGGUUCGGGUUCGGGUAAAACCCGAUCAGGUAUAAAGAAGUUUAGGAUCUAAUAGGGUAAAUCUAAAAUAUCGGUUCGGUUUCGAUUCGGGUCCAACCGGGUUCGGAUAUAGAUUUGUGGCCUUUUUUUAUCCAGAUUUUUCGGGUAAAAUUUUGGAUUUCGGAUAAAAUUUAGAUUUUUGAAUAAAAUAUUUGGGUAUUUUCGGGUUCGAGUUUGUUUUUUCGGGUAGAGAAAUUUAGGAUCCAGUAAAGUACAUCUUCGGAUUUGGAUUAAGUUUCAGCUCUAAUUUUUCGAGUUAGUUUCGGUUCGGAUAAUCGGUUCUGGUUUUUUGGCCCGGCUCUAUAGAAAACCAUCAAUAAAUAUUUUAAUCCUAUUUCUGCCUCAUUACUCGAGAAAAUAUUCGACCCGUUUUAUUACUUGAUAAAUUUACAACUAUAUAUUUAUGUAAUCUAUUUCAUAUUAGUAAAAUAUAUUAAAUUUGUUAUUAAAACCAAAUAUCUUUUGAGAUUAGGGCAAUCAAAAGUUAAGGUCAAGCAAAUGUCUCCUUUCUAAAUGUUUUUGUGGGUAACGGUAAAGGACAAAUAUACAGCCCAUGCCCAGACCUACAAGUAGCGACUCCAUUACUACACAGUAAGAUUUUUAUUAAUAAAAAUGUGCAUGGUUUCAUUUAAAAGUCAUUGCUAACACUUCACUUUACAGUAAUAUUCAAUUUCAUACCUUUAAACGUUAAUCAGAAUCGCCAAUUGGAAGCCAGUCACUGGAAUCACCUUCCGAAUCCUUGCUAUGUCCAACUUGGCUCUUGCUGAGCUGAACCCAGCUUGACCCGCUUGCGUUUGAUGCUGGUCUUUUCAGUGUACUCCUGUUGGGACUUGGCUUCUCCGAGAGAUCAUCGACAUCUAAAUCACUAAAGGAGAUUACCUCUUCAUCUCUGAAACUCCUCCGUUGUUCUUCAGAUGACUCAUCACUUAUCUCCCUUUGCUCAAUUUUUAGAGUCUCUAUCUUGUCAAUGACUCCCUCAACGGUUUCUGUUUCCCUACUGCUACCUUCUUCAGGAGUUUCGUGACCAGUAGUGCUCUUGCUUGACCCUGUCUCUUUCUUUUGCAGCUUUAGUAAAAGUUGAUCCCUUGUUUCAAAUACCUGUGCCGCACAAUAUAGUUAUUAAAGUUUCAGAAAUAGGUACAAUAGUAACUUGGGAAAAAAUGCAGAGCAUAAAAGAUAUAAAACAAUCCAAUUUUAAAAGCAUCAGGCAAAAAUACAUUUUUUCCUGAGGCUAUACUUGUUCUUAUUGCAAUCGGUUGAAGGGGUCAUUAUAGCAUAAACGUUUACGAUUUUAAUAAUAUUGGAUCAAUACUGACAUUUCAGAAGAAUGUAUUUCCAGUAUACAGUCUUACCUUGCAUGUUGCUAAGAGUUCAAAAUCAUGCCCAUUCAGUCUCGGCAUCAGCAAAAUAAAAUAAAUCAGCCAGAAGUGUUCAUCAUCCAUGUAACUACUAACUUGAUUCUUCACAGCUACAAGGCCAGGAACCAAAUCUUCAAUGGCUGAUGCAUGUGCCCUUUGAGCCUCAGACAGUUCAAAUUCUGCAAUGUGGACAUGAAAAGUUGGAGAAAAACUUCAGCAUAAUUCAGUAGGUAAAAUUGAUGUAAACCACCAAUGCUUUUUAUCAGGAAGUGUUUCGACAACAUUUUCAAGCAAACCAAGCCUAUAUACAAAAGGUUGUACAGGAUGACGAUAUGCUUCGCAAUAAAAUAAAUAAAAAGAUUUAAGUGGCAUAUGGAUUGAACUAUAUAUAUAUAUAUAUAUAUAUAUAUAUAUCCCAAGAAGAGACUGCAGACCCCGUCAAGUUUAUUCGUAAUUCCUGGAGAUCUAUCUAAAGAACAGGGACUUCAAAAAAAAAAAUUAACUGCAGAAACAAUCAAUCUUGUCCAAACAGGUCUAGAAUAAAACACAUCAAGAGUUAAAGACUGAAGCAUAAUCAUCUUUGGCGACUGAAAACAAGUCAACUAUAUUUCCAAGAACAAUCAUGUUUAUUCCUGCAUGGCUGCAAGUUCGUCGACAAUAUCUUCAAGGUAUGAAAAAUGUGAUCUACAGAGAGUAAUGGGACCCCGAGAUCCUAAAGACCUGAGCUUGAAGAAAUAUAUCCCAAGAGGAGAUGGCAGGACCGGUCUAACCUAAUCUAAAAUACUAGGAAAUCUCUCUAAAGAACACCAGAGGCUACAAGCAAUCAACUGUACAAACAAAAAAAAUAUUUUCCUAAUAAAUCACAGUAAGAAAAUCAUAACUAAACAUAGAUAGUUAGAAACCACCAAUGCGGUGCUUCGACUAUACUUUCAAACUAACAAAGCCUAUAUACUGGGAACAAAAAUAUGCUUGAAGAAAUAUGUCCAAAUAAGCUUAAUCUGUAACCCUAGUGAUCCCACUAGAAAGCCAAUCAACUGUAGAAGCAAUCAAUCUUUUCCAAAUAAAACCUAUUUUAGUAACAAUUAUGUUUGCCUACUGGGAAAAAAAAAAGUCAAUGCAGAGCUUAAGACUAUUGAGAAUCAAGCUUUAUGAUUCCUCUAUUGACUAUACAGGAGCAUUACCAGUAUCGAGUGACAAUGGAAAAUCUGUCCAACAACCAGGUUUCGUCGAGAUUUUAACAGCGAAAUCGACUACUUCUUCAGAGAUUCCAGGAACUUGAUCGUUCAACGGAGAUCUUCUACUACUUUCUCUAUCUCUUAGAUUACUAGGAAAUUGGAGUAAAUUAGAUGCGAAAUUGGAGAAAUUUCCACGAAUCUCGGCUAGAUCGUUGCGGAUCCCGAGAAGACCUAGCUGAGUUGGUGAAUUAUCAGAGGAGAGUCGGCGUUCGUUUACAGGUGGAGAAGGAGGCGGUGCCAGGAAAGCUGCGACGCCACGGAGUAAGGAAGAUAAAUCUUCUUUGACACCGCCAUGAGUUGUGGAAGGAUCGGGAUCGGGAUCGUGAUCGUCAUCGCCGCGAGAUUUGAAGAGCCAAGACAUGGUUUUUGAGUGAGAGAGGUUGGAUUUGGGGUUUUCAGUUUUUUUUGCACGGGGUUACGAAUAGCAAGAGAGAAGAAACGGUACGUUUUAAUACCUUUCCAAAACGCACCGUUUGUUGUUUGUUCGUUUUGAUACCUUCCCAAACGUGAAAUAAACGAACAAUAAUUAUACAAAAUAAACGGAAACAAAACCUACUUUUUAAAACGGGAAAAUAUCGUUUUAUACGUGAUGUUUUUAAGAAUGGUCAUUUUAUAUGUAAACUUUUAGAUCGAUCAAAUAAAAUAUGAUAAAAAUGUUGAUCCGCUAUUUAAACAAAACAUAAAGUUUGCCUGGCCAAAAUUUCCGAAAUGUUAACUUGUAUUAACGGAUCUGAUAACCCUCGUUAGCAGACGUUAGUCGUCUUCCGUUAAUACCAAACGAUUUUUUGUGAUGAGUACAAACCUUAAAAUUCCCAAAUCGAUUUUUCAUUCCCUAAUUCUUCAUAAUCCCCAAAAUUUGAACUAUUCUCGAUAUAUUUUUUUUGAGCUCAAAAUCUCCAUUUUGUGUAGAUAUGAGUUUAAAAAAUUUGAGUGUUCAAGAAGGAGGAAGUGGGAACCUUGGGUUUCCUUCAAAGUGUCAUUGGGGGAGAGAUUUCAUCAUCUAUAUAUCAAGCUCGACGAAGAACCCAAGAAGAUCCUUCUUCUGUUGUCCAACAUAUCAAGAUGUAAGUAGAUUUGAAUUUGUUUUUUUUGGUGUUUGAUCGGUAAAAAGUUGUCGUUGUAAAUGCAGGACCAUUUGUUUAAGUGAGUCGAAGAUUGUGUGUAUGAAGAGGUUGUAGAUGCAAUACUGAUAAUCUCUAUGAUUGAUAGCUAGAUAAACAAUGUCAAAUUUCAGGUUGUAGUCGAGAUUGCAGAAUUAAAGGUUUUGAUCCAAGAAUUGAAGGAAGAUGAAAUGUGGAGCAAAAUGGAAUUGAAGAUAUGGAAAUCGAUGACCAAAUUGUGCUUGGUGUGCCUUUGUAUAACAGUCAUUGCAAUUAUGAUCAUAAUGUUCUAUAAGACCAAAAACCAUAAGCUUGUUCUUGGUUACUAGUGUUUUGUGUUUGUAAUAAAAUGUUUUUAUGGUACUGAAAUGUUUGUUUGGCAAUGAUAAUCAGUCCUAGUGUUUUGUCUUAGUGUUGUGAUUGUAAUGAAAUGCUACUAGAUGCUUGUUUAACAAUGAGAAUCACCAAAAUGAAACUCAUUCAUACAUUAUAAAACUUGUGUCACAAAGACAAGUCGAAACCACAAAAUGAAAUCGAUACUAAGCUUAUGUCAUAAAGACAAAUCCAUUAUGUCAACCACCAAAAAUAAACUUAUGAGAAAGCUUAAGUUCAAACAACAACAAAAAGAAACUUGUGACUAAUCUUGUCUUGAACACUCAAACCAUGAUGCAAAUCCACCAAGUCCUUGUGGUUGAGCAUGUGGCUCAGUUUGUGCUUGUGCUUGUGGUUCUGUUUGGGAUUGUACUUGUGAUGCUCCACCUGUCUCCCUUGGUCUUUCUGAUGUUCCGCCUGUUGCCCUUGGUCCUUGUGAUCGAAUAUGAGAUUGUGAUCCUUGAUGAGGUUGUGAUCCGUGUAUUUGCUCUUGCGAUUCGAGCACUUGAGAUCGUGAUCCUUAAUGAGAUUGUGAACUUUGAUGAGGUUGUGAUCUUAGCACUUGUGAUUCCUCCUAAGUUAAAUAUGACAGUCUGAACAGUUGCAUGAUUAAGUGAGUUGUAAAACAUAUAAAAAAAAACAAGAAUACAAACCUGAUUUAUUCGUGGAUGACCUCUUGGUCUCUUUGGUGGAAUCAGAAUAGUGGCAUUUUUGCAGCUUUGCUUGUUUGCCCUUGUUGAAGGCAGUUAGAGCAUGUCAUGAUUCUCUUUUGCAGUGGCAUCUUGUUCUUAUUUGAAGAAGAAGAAGUCUCAUUUCUUCCUUUUCUCCUAACAUAAUUACUCGGUCUUCCAACAUUUCCUUUUGUCCAUGGUGGUGGCAAAACAGGGAGCCUAUUGGUUUUAGGCCACAAUGGCAUACCUUGGACAAGGCUAAUACCAUCUUUAUAAGUUUUUCGCCAGAUUACCUUUGUGUAAAACUUGCUCACAUAGUCUGCAACUGUUUCUCUUCUUCCUAUUAUCACAGGUGUCGCAUAAAUACAUGGGAUCCCCACCAUCUACCACUUCCUGCGACCACAAGUUCUCUUCUCCGUAUCAACAUAGUAGCUAACACCAUUCACAUCAAUUUGAUACAAAUUGUUUCUGGACAUAUAUCUCUCGCAAUUUCUAACCCCAACUAUCAUUUUCUCAAUCUCAAGAUGGGCUCUCUUUGUGAACCUUGUCUUCAAUUUGUCAGCAAUGAUAUACGUCUUCGUAGUUAUGACCAUGCAUUACCUCUGGAUGUACUCUAGCUAAUCCAACAAAGGCUUUCUCCUAGCCUGUUUAAUAGUCUUAUUAAAAGACUCACACUGAUUAUUGAGGCUGUCAUUGCAACGUGUCCAAUUCUAAAGAAGGCUCUCGACCAUGUCAUUGGACUAGUAAGUUGCGAGUGGCAUGCGCAUGAGGAUUGUAUCUCUUUAGCUCUUCCAUAUUAUUCAUGAACACUUCUUCAGUGUAGCUUCAAAUUGUUUUUCAAAGAGACAUUGUAGUUCUAUCUCAUGGUUGUCUCUCUUCCAAUUGUCCAUUAUAUGCCUUGAAUAUUGUCGAUGCUCAACUUCUGGAAGUAUGGUAUUGAUAGCUUUGACUAGACCCUGUAAAAUAACACAAAAACAUAAGCGUAAACCCUUCAUAAAAGACAUUAAACUGAAGCAAAAGAUGAUAAAAUUAACUGAUUAUUUAUCUGAAAUGAUAACUAGAUGUUGCAUUUCACAGUCCCAAACUAGUAGAGAGCUGUCUCAAAAACCAGUCCCAAUUAUCAUUGUUUUCUAUCUCAACAACUGCCCAAGCUAUAGGAACAAUCCUCUUAUCUCCAUCUCUUCCAACUACAGCUAAAAGGUGACCUUUUACAUCCCAUUUUAGAAAACCCAUCUAUUCCUAUCACAGGUCUACAAGUUCGCUUCCAAGAAUCCUUUUGAGAUUUAAAGCAGAUAUAGCACCAGAGAAAAGAAUCCUUUUGUGAUAUAAAGCAGCUAUAGCAUCAGAGAAACCUUUGCUUGCUUCCAAUAAAAAGCCCUACUGUUGUCUCUAUCUCAAACUCUGUCUCUGGGUUCUACUUUAAAACCUCCGCUUGAUAAUCUCAUAUUCUUGAAAAGUGAUCAUUAUGAGUAGCAUGUCAUGCUUUCAACACUUUGGUCUUGGCCUUUGCACAUUGGUCUGGAGUCACAUCCAAAUUGAAUUCUCUCUGAAUCUCAACAACCAUCUCGUUCUUUGAAAUAUUUGGAUUCACUCUCAGCCUUUCAUCAAACAAAAGUGCAAUGGAAGACCGCUUCAACAUCUUUGAAUAUCCUGACCUAACACAAGUAUGCAUAUAAAAUCUUACUUGCAUCUUAUGUUUUGUCUUCUCAUACGAACAAUAUACUUUCCAACCACAUUUAACACCAUCAACACCAAUUUAUGACCACUUCGCAGCAACAACCAUAGAUUCAGACCCAUAAAGAGAAAUGGUAUACCAUGUCUUUAAAGAGUACAUCAAAAGAACACGCUUGAAGUCGUGUUUAUAUCCUCUUCACCGCGUAAACCACCAUUAUAAUCGUUAUCUCCACCACCAACCACAUCAUCAACGACAUUGCAGUCUUCAUCACCAUACACGGCGCAGUCUUCUUCAUUUUUCAGGGUCAGGCUCAAAUGUAGGUUCUUCAUCCUCCUCUUUUUAAUGUCUGACUCUUCUUCGUUUUUGUUUUCAAAGCCGCUUUGAAACUCGAGCUUUAACUACGAUAGAAGACUCUACUACGCCUACAGCCGGCAGAGCUAGAACUCCGUUAUCAAACUCUAAAACUGCUUCCGCUGGUGGAGCUCGAACAACAUCUUUGGUGUCAUCUUCGCCUCGUGGUGGAGCUUCAUCAUUGUCUAAUUUGCCUUCCAUUGAUACAAUCUAGGACUCCAAGGAUACAAAUUCAAGAUGAAAUCAAAUCAAAAUCGCGAUUUCGCCAAAGUAAGAAUUAGGGAUUUGGUUUUUGGAAAUUAGGGAUUUUGAAAUCAAAAUGGGAAUUUCUGUUUCAGUUUAUGAAACGACAUUGUUUUAGGCAUUAACAGAAAAAAUUAACGUCUGCUUACAGGGGUUAUCGGAUCUGUUAAUGCAAGUUAACGUCUCGGGGAUUUUGGUCAGGUCAACUUUAUGUUUUGUGUUAAAUGGCGGGUCAACGUCUUUAUCAUGUUUUAUUUGGCCGACCUAAAAGUUCACGUAUAAAAUGGCCACUUUUGAAAGUUCACGUAUAAAACGACAUUUUUCCCUUUUCAAAAACCUAAUUUAUUUCGCAUAAUUAUUGUUCGUUUUGAAAAGUAGGUUUUGAUUUAAUAUUAAAUUUAUUCGGGGAAAAAGAAUUAUACAUUUACAAGUAGGAAAAAUGGGUAAAAAAAACCUCACCUUUCCCAAAUACAUUUAAAAAAACCUCAACUUUUUGUAGGUUUUUAAACCCUCACCUUUUCAAAAAUGGUAAAAUAACAAUUAGCAUUAUUAAACCAAAUAAAUACAAAUUAAAUACUAAAUAAACUAUUAUAUUAAGACAUAAAAAACAACAUAAUUUAUAAUCUAUCUUUUCCAAAUUUGAGUUUAGGAUUUUUUUUCUUCUAGAAUUUAGUUGUUUUUUGUGAUAUAAAAAAUAAGUUUCAUUGCCAUUAGAAAUUGGUAUGUAAACUAAAACAAUUUAUAACAUAGCACAUUUUAUUUUAUUUGUGUUCAACUAUGUUCUAACCUUUGAAGUUUUGGAUUUAAAAUGGAUAAAAUUUAUUAACACAAAUUUGAUCUAAACUUGAGUGACCUAAUAUUUGUUCUAAACUUGUGUGAUCAAAACUUUAUUCUAAACUUAAGUGUCCAAACCAAAUAAAAUUUUAUUAAAUAUAUUUUAUAUUUAGUUAUUACAAAAUUAGUUUAGUUUUACGUUGAUGAAUUUCUUGAACUCAACCAAAUUAAUCUUGUUUCAGUUCACUGCAUAUGUAGAAGAAUAUAUAUCUAUAUAUAUAUACAUAUAUCAUACCUAAAAUAAAAUAAUUAUUUUUAUCCAAAAUUUAAUUAAACUUACACUCGAAACAAAAUAAAUAAACUUUGAAUAGACUUUGGAUAUGUUAUCUUCAGUAUGAAACCAAUUGUCUGAACCAAAUUUAAAUUGUUUUCACAUAAAACAUUUUACUAGAAGAAAAUAUUUAAGAGCUAUGUCUUUGGUUAGAUUAGAAUCGACAUAUUUCGUUUUCAAGAUUGUUUAGUGGUAGUUUGUUGUUUUGCGUCAAGUUUUUUUUAAUGUUUUCUUUUCCUAUUUUUGUCGGGUUCAUCUCUUGCUUUUGGACCGGUCAAUCUAUAACUUUUCACCUUUAUAAUAAUAGGUAAAGCGGUUGUGUGACUCUUUCAUUUUCCUCUACUCAAGUUUAAGACUAAAUCUGGUCAAAUUUUUAUUAGACUAGUUAUGAUGGUUUGUUAUAAACCAUUUCACAACUGUUGAAAAAAUUAUUUCCACUACAAUGGUUUAUUGUAAUCGAAAAGUAAGUGAGAUGGCAAAUUUAUCAACACUCAUGAGAGUAGAAGAAAGAAGAUAAGUGUGACAAGUGUUAUAUUUUGAUUGGUUGCUUUUUUUUUUUGGACAAAAGCUUGUUUUUAUUCAAUUAAGAGAGAAACAAGUACAAAGGAACAAGGAUUCUAAGAUCCCAAAGUUUAAAGGACAACAAAGGUAGGCAUUCCCAACACCAUAAGAAGAAAAGCUAACACACAAAUAAGGUACAUCAACAAUGGUUCCAUGAGAGCUAUAAUCCAAACACUUGAAGGGAAUUUGUUACUUUUAAGAUCAAGGAUUGUUGACAAAUCUUCCACGAACAAAGUAGUGGAUGAGAGUAUGGUUACUGUCAAAAGACUUAGUAACGUUAACAAGGGCGCCAAAGACAUGAAUCUCGUCGGGACGAGAAGUACUACACCAAGUAGUGCUUUUGCAAAGGUUCGAACAAGGUUUUGGUAAAGGAAGGAGGAUCGUCGAGGCUUAGAAAGAUUGAUGCGAGACCGUAACAGAACAGGUGGGUCCUCUCUCCCAAGAAGACCAAGGAGAUUAAGGAAUUCCACACAAAGCUUGUAGUCGGUUUGCCACAUGAAGAAAAGGCCAGACAUGAGGAAAUUGAGUAGAUAUCACUUUGAGGCACUAGUCAAUAGGGAGGGAUCUCUCACAAGAGAAUUGAGAAGUUCAUGUUGAAGCUUGAUCCAAACCCGGGGAGUAAUGGUGAAUGGGAGGUUCUUGAAGUUGGUCGAUAUAGUUGUCAGUAUGAAAUACUUUGAUAGAGAGUUUUGGUGACUAGCGUCACAUCUCCGACAGAUUGGACUAAGAAACACUAGACCAUGAAUCUUCAAAACGGAAUCAUAAAACAUUGCCCUAGCUAAACCUAGCACCAAGGUUCUCAGAUAAUAUUUGUAGGAGCAUAUCAACGAGGGUGAUUCGUCAUUCAAGUGGUGUCCCUAACCCCUCAAAAUAAAGAAACGAUGUCUACAUUGGGAUAGACUCGGCAAAUUGCAGAUGGAGGAAUACCUGGAUUUUUGUGAUAAUAGGUUUGGGUCGCAAUUUAUGGGCUUGGGCCGCGAGGGAAAUGGGCCAACAUUGGAGACAGGGCCCAUCAAAGAAAACCCUCGAUUCCAGAUUGUUGGGCAAGGAGCGUUGGGAGUGCGGCGGCUACGGUAGAGAGGUACGAAUUGCACAAUUGAAGCAGACGUCUCUGAUGUAAAUAGAGUUAGGGUGAACAAGCUGCAUGACGGGUCCGGCGCUGAGGCUAUAACAACGGCUAAUGGUUUGGCAAAAGAACGUCGGAGAAGCCUUAGGGAGCCGAAAGGUCCCGCAGAUCUAGUAACGAUGAGGAGGCGGAGACAAGGCUCAGGUUGGAAGGAUUGGUCGCCUAUGAAAUUGAAAGCUUCACAAACUGUUUUCUUUGAUUCGCAAGGUUUGGACAGAGAGUGUAGCUUGCUCGGAGGCCACAUUUUGCCUAUGUCGGAGAAUACUGCUUCAAAGAAGAUUCAACAGCAAAGAAGAACUCGAUAGAUUUGGAUUAAAAGGUUUGCAACAGAAGAAAACUAAAUUACAACGAAGAAGUAGAUGAAAGAUUGAGGAAAUAGCUCGAGAGAUGAGAGGGAGGUUCCGAUGCCGGCGAGCAUUUGCUCCACCGACGUCGGAAAGAUGAAGGGAGAUAGUUUCCUCGAUAUUAGUGUCUAUUAGCUCCACCGACGUUGAAAAGAUGAAGGGAGAUAGUUUCCUCGAUAUUAGUGUCUGGGAGAGAAACUCUUUAAAAUCUUAGUCUCGCAAAAAAUUUGAUUGGUUGCUUUGAUUUCUAUAUUUUUUUUCUUAAUUACAUAACUUUAAUUAUUUCAUAAUAUUUAUAAAUAAACAUAUCAAAAUUUACAAUUUUUCAUUCUCUAUAAAUAAACACUAUCUUCAUUUGAUUUGGACAAAACAAAAAUAAUCUUUCUUUAGAAAAAAAAAAGUUUAGUCUCCAAUAAACUUUUGUUUUAGCUUUAAAUAUACUUUUAUCUAAAUGGAUCCAAACAAUAACCUUUCAACACCCAAAACUUUUCUAAUUACUUUUAAACUAUCCAAAUCCCAACAAUUAUUAGUUGCAGGUGUGUCAGAAGGACAUUGAACGAGCAUUUGGAGUGUUGCAGGCUCUAUUUAAAAUUAUUCGCGAACCAGCUCGACUGUGGGACAUAGCCGAUUUGACUAUCAUCAUGAGGUCGUGUAUCAUAUUGCAUAAUAUGAUUGUUGAUGAUGAACGACAGACGUAUACUCAACAUUGGACUGAUUAUGAUCAAUCUAAGGCAAGUGGGCCGAGUACAUAACAACCAUUCUCGACCAAAGUGCUACUUGUAUUUGCAAAUCAUCUGCGUGGUAGAUCCAAGUUGCGUGAUUCAAAUGUACACCGCAAAUUGCAAGCAAAUCUAGUCAAACAUAUAUGGGCACAAUUUGGAAUUUUCCAUGGUGAAUGAGAUUUUUAAGUUUGUGAGUUGAGAUUAAUAUACUAAUUAAGUUACAAAUGUUUCCUUACUUGUUGUGUGCGUAUUGUAUUGCAUUUUAAAUCUAUGUUCAUUGUAUGUGUUUUAGUAAUGAUUAUUUUUAUUUCUAGUUUUUAUUAUUUAUAAAGUUUUUUUAAAAAAUAUAUACAAAUAUUAAAACAAAAACUAUUUUAUAAAAUUUAUUUAAUAUUUAAUUAUUUAAAUUUAAUUUAAUAUUAACGGUGAUUAAUAAUAUUUAAUCACAAAAAACAUAAACAUAAAUAAAAUGAAAAAUAUAAAAUAAAAAUUGUGGGAUAAGGUGUUGUAAUUUUAUCAAACAAAACUAUUGUAGAGGGAAAAAAUUAUGUAGGUGUGGAAUAACGAUGUGGAAGAGAGAGAAAACGAUGUGAAGUGUUAAAAGGGAAAAAAAGGGUGUUGUAAAUGGGUAACCAUUGUAGAUAGUCUUAGGAAGUGAAUGGUGACUUUAAGAUUUGCAGAUUUCGAAAGAAAAAGAAAAAAAUGCACUAAUGUCACCAAUCAGACAUAUGUGUGUAAUUUGUUUUUUUUUACAGAUAAUUUGGCACACACAUUUCAAAGCAUGUUAAUACACUAGGGAUAAAAGAAACACACUCUACUAUCGUCCAAGGGAUAUUUGGCAGCGCUUAACUAAAAACUUGCAUUACACAGUAAGUAAUAAAUCAAUUAUUUAAUUAAUAAUAAAAUGUACCUAUAAAUCAGAUCAUGUACUCUAAAACUAUUCACACAUUACAACCAAAAACAACAUCCUCUCAUAUUUCGCUCCAAUCCAAAAGAAAAAAAAAACAAUCUCCCACCCUUUCGUCAUAUAUUACAACAUUUAAAUGUAAAUUACUUUUACUAUACUAGUAUAAUAAUUACUUAUAACAAAAUAUUUCUAUGUAAUUAAGGUCUCUUUAUAAAUAAAUAGGACUGAAAUUAAGUAUAUAAAAUUGUUCAAAAUUUAGUAAAUCAUAAAAUGUUAUAUUUAUGUACAUAUUUAUAUGACUAUGUUUUAUUUUUAUAUUCAUAACAUCAGUAUUAAAUUUUAAUCAAAUCAUAGAAAUUUUUAAAUAUGUAUAAUAAAUGGUUGUGAUAGUAUUUACUAAUCAAGAUGUAUAUAUAUUUAUUAAAAAGAGAAAGGAAAAUUUUGAAGAUAUACAAAAUUACUAUUUUUUUAAAUUAUAGUUUAGUAUAUUUAUAUUAGAUGGUAAUAUGAUAUUAUGAAUUUUUUCAAAACUUAAUUAAAUCAAUUAAUUUAAUCAUAUCAAAAGUUACUUAAAUCAAUUCAUUUCCAUCAUUAUUAAAUUUUAAACAAAUCAUAGAAAAUUAAAAUAUGAAAAGAAAUGGUUGUGAUAGUACAAUAAAGUGAUUCCGAGUUCCCUUUGCCUCCGUCGGAGAAGUAUUAUCUAGUUGAUUAUGACUACCCAAACAAAUAAGGAUUUCUAGUUCCUUAUAGAUCGUCAGGAAAUCGAGUUGUGAGAUAUCAUAUGUCUCAAUUUUAUUUUGGUCCUCCUCCUAGAAACAAACAUGAACUAUUUAAUAUGUCAUGCAUCUUUACGUUCUGUUAUCGAGAGAACUUUUAGAGUUUCGGAAAAGAAAUGGAGGAAUCUUUUUCAUUUUCCUAGAUAUAAUAUUCAUAUUCAAAAAAGAGUGGUAAUGGUUAUAGUGUGAUUACAUAAUUUUAUCAGAAUUUCAAACUUCUCAGAUGUAGAUUUUCUUGAUGUAAUGACAGAGACAAAUAUAAACUACAGAGAUUAUGAUCAUCAUUUAGAUGACAUAGAAGCAACAGAGAUAACAAAUGGAGAACAUAUGAUGCCAAUAAAAGACAAUAUUGCAAAUAUGUUAUGGCAAAAUCAAAAUAAUAUAAAAUAUUUUUUAAUGUUUUUUAUGAUGAAAUUAGUUAAGGCAUGUAACAAUAUGUAUGUUACAAAAUUAAAUUUAUAUUUUGAUCAAUUUUUGUAUUAGUGGUUUAUAAAUAUCUGUUAUUGUUUAUUUAUUAACACAAAAAAUUAAUUAAUUAUUAAUAUAUAUAUAUAUAUAUAUAUAAUUUAUAAUUCGCACCGCAUGUAGUUUUUUCACCAAUCAAACAUUAUUUUGUACCGCUUAUUUUGAAUAAACCGUACUUAUCCCGCAAAUAUAUUUCUCCUACACGAACCGCAGUUUAACCGUACUACACUUCAAUAACGCUUUCCCCGCACUAUAAAAACCACGGUUACCAUUCGGACCCUUAGAGCUUGUUUAAAAAAUUGCUAGGCGUUAACCGGGCAUUCGGGGACUUAUCGAUAUUAGUUUUUAACAUUUUAAUAUUGAUAUAUACAUAUAAAUUAAAUAUCGGAAUAUAUGACAAUGGAAUUAAUUUGGUUGAGUGUCAUCUUUUUUUAUUUGGAAAUUGCACAAUCUAUACUCUGAGGAGUCGUUAUUUAGGUUCCCAAAAAAGCAACUGUUUGGCUGGUACUGUGGAUGUGGAAAUUGCGCAUGUAUGAAAAUAUAUUGUGUGAGACGGCUUCAUUAAAAUCUUAUUAGAUUAUUAUUGUUCUUCGCAUGUGGUUUUUGUUUUCUAUAUGUUUUUUAUUUAUUGAUUUAUGGGGAAACCAAUCAUCAUCAUCAUUUCCCUUCCAAUACGGAGAGCUUGGCAAUGCGAAAGAUUUGGAUGGCAAAUGUUUGGUAUAAAUUUUUCGACCCGUUAAUAUUAUAAUCUUGAUAUUAUUUUUGUUAACGUCAUUAAUCUUUUGCAGACGUAUGUGGAGCCUAUCAUUUUCCCUGACGUGGAGAUGAACCCGAAAGAAGAUUUAACCUGGUCUGACGAUGAGGAAGAUGUGAUGGGUUGAUAAUAUCGUCAUGUUAGUUGGUAAAGGGAUUACUUUUCAGCUCCCUCCAUUCUGAUUUGCCAACUCCUACAAAUGCUAAGGUUAGUUAACUGAUAUUUAUUUUAUAAUCGUUGUGUUUAGUAGUUUAGCAACUAAGUAUUAUAUGUGAGUAGCUAUAUUUUUUCUUUAUUUUUGUAGCUUUUUUGCCUCUGUUUCAGAGUUUUCAAUUAUCUCCAAGAUGUUGCAGGUAAACAAAUCUGUUGAGGUCCUUGAUCAUCGAGAUGAAGAACCGGUUUAUUUAUUUACACUCCAUUUUUGUUUAACUUUACUGUACAUUUUUGUUAACCCCCUCCAUAUUUUAUUAGCCGGUAAGAUUGUUAUCAUUCAUUUUCUUUUUAAUUAUUUUAUUCUGUCUUGCAGACCAAAAUCAAUCCUUCAAAAUUAACCACUACAGUCGAGGAAGAAAAGGAUUCUAAGGAGGUUAGAUAAUUCUUCCUUGUUUUUAACUUUCAUUUGGUUAAAUCCUUAACCGGUGAUAUAUUGCAUGUUUCAAUUUUAGGAUUUUACCACUCCACCCCUGUCAACCCAGUCUCGCUCUAACGUGAAGGUUAUCUUCUAACUAUGAUGUUAUCGCUUAUUGUUUAUAUUCAUCUUCCACGUUUGUAGGAUGUGGUGUGCCCUGCAAGUGUGUAUGCGGAUUAGCUGUUAAAAAAAAUAUUUCCAAGACGCAAGAAAAUUCGGGCUGCCCCUUCUUCCGCUGUGUAAGCAAAAGAGACGUGAGUUAUUUCCUCUCUAAAAACGAUGUUAUUAGCUUUUCUGGUAGCUACACGUUUUGCUAGUUAACCUAUCAUUCUUUUUGUAGGGACAUUUGUUUAAGUGGGUUGAGGAUGUUGUAUAUGAAGAAGUGGAAGAUGCAUUGGUUAGACUUGUAUCGAUUUAAAAUGAGGUAAAUGAUUAAAAGCGCAGGUCAUCCAGUUUUGUGUUGCUAUAAAAGAGUUGAAGGCAGAUUCAGUGUCCGACCAGUUGGUGAUGCUUAUGUUGAAAGUGGGCUUGCUUUUCAGAUUUGUCUUCUCUCUUUUUGUAGCUUUUGUUAUCGCAACACUUCUUAAAAUAGUCGAUAUUAAGUUCAUUAGUAGUUUUUAAUGUCUAUCUUUGUAAUGUUUCAUAGUUUCUAUAAUUCCCUAUGUUUAAGAUAUUAUAUUUGUUAGUCGUUAACCAUGUAAUAUAUACCUUGUAUCAAUCUUCUGUCUAUAUAAUAUUUUAUAACUUCUCAUUUAUUUCUUUAUUUUUGUACCAUUUGCACAUUCUUUAGGCGAUAUUUAUAACCAUUUUAAAACUUAUCUUUUAUUUUAAUUUUUUGGUAGCAUUUUCACAUUUAUUAAGCGAUAAUCUAAUUCUUAGCCAUCCAGCUGUGGUCCUAUCUUCUUAUUUUAGGACGCUAGUUAUCUUUUUUCUUAGUAUUGCAAAUUUUAAGAAGAGGGUCUAUAUCUUGGUACAUAUUUUGUUACAGAAUAUCAUUCAACAUAAACAUAUAUUUAACAUUCAGAAGGAAGGUUUGUUGGGAUCGUCCCUGAUUGCAGAUAAUACACAUUUUUUGGAUCAGUAAUUGUACGUAUAUACAUUGAAAAUUUUCUGAUCUCCGAAUUCUUGUUAUUUAUAAAACAUGACUUCUCGCGAGUCUUCUAAGCACGGAACCAUCCGUUCAAACCCUCCCAUAGUCCAAAAAAACAGUCCUCUCCUUCCAUCUUCAUCCGCAAAAAAAAAAUUUUCCUCGUCGCUUACUUGCCUCCAUGUACCACAUUAAUUUUUUGAUUAGCAGUCAUUUUUCUUUUUAAUCAGAUAACACCUACUUUAUCGACACUAGUUUCUUCAUACACCAUGGUAAAAGUUUUGUUAUCGGCUGCUUUUUCAAAAAAUGAUAAGGAGCUAUAUAUAUAGAUAGCAAACCAAAGAAAGUUGCCCUAACUACACACCUGAGACUUAAAUGCUCUAUGUUUCUAUCUUCUUUCAAUAUUUAUCGUUUGCAGUGGUUUAUAUGUUAGUUGUUUCAGUUCUUGUUGUUGCAGUAAUGUCGAUAUGGAGAUAAUAAAUAGGCAAACAUCUAUCUUCCAUAUCUGCACAAUCGAUUAUGUAUCAUAUGUAAUCAUUACUUUUUACAUUUUUUUAUUAGUUUGACCAGGGGGCGCAAUAUCUUCGAAGAUUACAGAGCAUUUAAUGCUCGUGAUCUUGCGGAAGGAGACUAGUGAUCCUCUGCUUGUAUAGGAACAAUUAUGUCAUAUUUAAUUUGCAAGAAAAUUUUCACCUAAAUAACGAAAUGAUAUGUAUAGAUCCUUAAUUAUUUUCUCCUGUAGGUAUAUAUAUUUCAUUCACUCUUUUUAGUUUAAUGAAAUAGUAAAUGACAAUAUUAUCCUCAUCUUAUUCUUUAGAUCUUAGCGACUGCAACCCUAAUUUUUGUCGUAUCGUUUUUCACAAUUCUUAUCAUUUUUUCUUACCCUUUAAUGAUUUAUACCCAAAUAUAAUAGAUCUACAACCUAAAGACCGAUUUAAAACUUGUAUUUCUUUUUAAAAAAUGAGUUUUUCUAAGAGUUUUCAAUUUUUUUUGGCGAUUUCAACAAAUCGAGGCGGUGGUGGUCUGAAGAGCGCUUAGUUGGACGAGUAAUCGGUUAGACGACCAAUUUUUAGAACAAGGGUCUUGACAAUCCACAAUGCAAGUGUUGAAUUAUUUAUUCAAUUGUUGAACCUUCACAUUGCACAUGUUGAAUAGUUUAAAAAAUCUUACGUGGAUUCAACUUGGUUGAAAGUAUUCAAUAUGUUAUAAAGAAAAAAUUUGGGCCCGCGCAUGCCACAUGUCAAUAAAUGAGUAAAGGAUGUGUUUCAAACUCGGAGAAAGGAGAGCGUAUUGUCCAAACCUUUUUCUUUUUACUUUUAUUUUUUUUUGCAAAAAGAAGAGAUUAUUGAGAUGCUCACACUUGCUAUAUUUUCAUUAGAUAUUAAGAUUUUGGAGAUUUUAUUUCUAUCUUAUUUAUUUACAAUCAAUUAUUACAUACCAAACAAUUUUUUUUUAAAAACUUAUAUUUAUAUGAAAAUUUAUAAAUUUUUAAACUCUAGAAAUAGAGACUUAGUUCAUUUUAUUUGGACACAUAAAAAAUAUUAUUUCUACCAUAAUUUUCUUAUUCUUCUCCCAUAAACUCUUGGUUAUAUCCUUUUUUUUUAUGGAUUCUAAUAAAAUCCCUAUGCAAAAUUAUACUAAUUUUUCCUUUCCCUAUCCUAAUUCCAACAAUAAUCCUACGCAAAAUUCGACUAAUUACGUUUUUCCUUAUCAAAAUCCCAACAAUUAUCAAUUUCAAAAUCUAUCUUUCAACCAACCUCAAAAUUUCCCAAAUUAUGAUUUUCUACCAAAUUUUUCUAUGCUCUCAUCUGUUCCAAACUAUAAUUCAUAUUAUAGAUCGAUUCCAAAUUCAUCUCAACCACCUCUUUAUGAUUUGAGGUUGUGAUUUUCAUUGACAUCAAAAAGAAAAAAAAAAAAAAUAUCACAGAAAGGAGACAAUGAAUAUGAUUAAUAUUUAAUUGGUAAACUAUUAGAUUAGGCGGGGGUUUUCUCAAAAAUUGUCUCUUUUGUAGGACUGUUGUCACCAAUAUUUUCAGUAUCUUUUACUUUUAUUAAUUUUUAAUAAAAUUUAUGAUAAUAAAAAAAAUGAAAAUAAUCGUAAAUAAAAGAAAAAAAGAGAGUUGUGGGUUCUUUCUUUUUAGUUACCCACGCAUCGCUGUCGAAAGAUUAAUUAUGAAAUCAGAUGUUUGGUUGAGUAUAAUAGUAAUGCAUGUCAUUAGUUUAAAUUUAUAAUAUUAAACAAAAUUAUAAAUAAGAUAUUUGAACAAAACAAAAUUAAGUUAGUUUAAACGUUAAUUGGAAACCAAAUAAGAGAUCUGUUAGGAAAAAAGAAAAUAUAUACCAAAUAAGAGAUACAGGAAAUCAGAAAUUUUAAUAUUAUGUGUUUGAAUCUUCUCACCAAAAAAAAUUAUGUGUUUGAAUCUUCUCACCAAAAAAAAUUAUGUGUUUGAAUCUAAUUGAUUAAUGGACACGGUCUAGUAAAUUAUAAUUUUUUUGACCCGCGAAAUAUAGUGAAACAGAGUUUAUCUCUAUACAACAAGACAAAAAAGAAGUUCUAAGAUCAAACUCUGUUUGAUAUACAAAAAUUAUAUUGUAAAUGAAAAUGGAACUUUGAGAUUGAUCUACAACAAGUCUGCUACACUCAUCACAAACGUAAUGUGAUUAUACACAUCCACGUUGGCCGCAAAAACUAAGGAUCUUGUAUCAUCUGGAUCAACAGACAAAAUCAUAUUGCAAUAGUCAGCAGCAUCACGUGCGAGACUAAGGUCGUCAUCAGUCUCAUCAACAUCACCAUUGCCCAUUGACCGCUGUGCCUUCAUUAGCCCCUCGACAACAGAAUCUUUAUAGUUCUCCAUACAACUCUUGAAACAUGGCUUCUUAGGAGAACCAAUGAGAAACUGUGUGUGCUCUGCCUUCUCCAUGGCUAGAGAAAGAGCCGCCUUAGCCAACUCUAAUACAGUCGAUGCGGAUUUCGUGCGAUGAUCUAACGUUAGGGAUUUGAUACAUUCUUCUUCUAGGGACGAGAAUGACGCGGUGCCUUUACAAGCCUUUGAUAUCAGUAAUGAUGGAUAUGGACAUGUCUUUGGUUUGGUUGAUAAAUGGGUAGCAAUGUUGGAUUUUGCAUUGGUAUAUGGCCACCGCGAGAGGAGAAGGAAGGUUAGGAUAUGGAUUGAUAGGUAUGCAUGAGAAGCAUAUAAACAAACCAUCGUUUUAUAUGUUCAACAAAGCUUGUUCUUUGACUAUAGGUUUAAAUGAAAUAGUAGAUUGAAGUUUGUACAUAUAUUAACUUUUGUUGUGUCAAUGGUUUAAAUUGUCCAUUGUUUAGUUCCACAAGUUUUAAACAUGAUAUGUUAUUUAUAGGUUUGGAAUGAACGAUAGAGGAAAAAUAAACUUGUCAACGCUAAUAAUAAAAGAGUGUAUCGAAAAAGAGAGAAAAAAACAAAAAUUCAUUGUGAUUCUUUUGUUAUUUUGUUUUUCAAUGAUUCAAUUCAAUGUCUUAAUUUCUCUCCUAACAUAAAAGUUAGUUAUGGGCAUUCGGUUAUCCAGUUUCGGUUCGUUUCCAUUCCGUUAUCGUUCUUUCGGUUCUAGAGUUUAGUAUCCAUUCAGUUAUUUUGAUAUUUCGGUUCGUUUCAGUUCUUACAGUUCUAAAAUUUAAUAUACAUUCGGUUAUUUUGCUUUGAGUAUUUUUGGAUAUUUCUGUUAUUUUUAUAUUUUUGAGUAUUUUUACUAUUUAUAUAUACUUUUUAGUAUUUUUAAUUAUUUAGUCUAGAAAUGACUAGUAUUUUUGAAAAUAUAAUUAUAUUUCGGAUACUUUUGGUUAUCCAAAAUAUUUCAGUUUGUAUCCACUCGAUUUCGGUUCUUUUGGUUAUAGAAUUUUAAUAUCCGUUAGGUUAUUUUCAAAUUUUCGGUUUUGCUCCGUUUUUUUACAUCGGUUGCGGUUCGGUACAUUAGGUUCGUUUUAUAUGCCCAAGCCUAAUAAAAAUCAUGUUCAUUUUGGUAUUUAUAGCUUUAGUAGACACAUGUUUAGUAAAACAAAUUCUCAAACAAGAAGAUUUAUGGAAUACCUUGUAAGACUACUUAGACUAGUUACAAUGGUUUGGUGGUGAAAAAAACAUUUCCACUACGAUGGUGUGCUGUAAUCAAAGCUAGGUGAUGUGGCAAAUUUAGUAUUGAUAAAUAUCAAUACCCGUGAAAGUAGAACAGAGAAGAUAAGUGUGACAAGUGUUAUAUUUUGAUUGGUUGCUUUGAUUUUUAUUUUUUUUGUUUCAUCUCAACUAUAUAACUUCAAUUAUUUUAUAAUAUUUGUACAUAAAAAUAUCAAAAUUUAUAUCAAAAUUUCUAAUUUUACAUUCUCUAUAAAUAGAGACUAUUUUCAUUUGAUUUGGAUACAGAAAAAAAAACUAUUUUUAGACCCAAAAAAGGUAUAAUCGCCAAAAAAAAAACUUUUGUUUUACCUUUAAAUAUCUUUUUAUCUAAGUGGAUCCAAACAAUAACCCUUUCAACACCCAAAACUCUUCUAAUUACCCUUUUAACUAUGCAAAUCCCAACAAUUAUCAGUUUCAAAAUCAAUCUCCUAACCAACCCCAACAAUUAUCAGUUUCAAAAUCAAUCUCCUAACCAACCCCAACAUAUAUCAAAUUAUGGUUAUCCACUAAAUUUCUUCAUGCCGUAAGCUGUUCCAAACUAUCGUCCAUUUCAUGGAUCGAUGAUGUCUUAUCCAUCUUAAACACCUCCUUAUUUUCCUACUCCAACAGGUAAUGAAACUGAUUCGAAUCUUGGAGCAACUGAUUUUCCCGAGUUUUCUACCCAAAUGGCUCUUGGUGGUAUUAGGGUAUUCAUGAAGCCAUUCCAGAUGCAAAGGAUUCAACUCCUUCUCGUCGGAGAAGUCCCAAAUGGACCACUGAUCAAAAUUUGGUUCUCCUGAGUGGGUGGAUUAAAUUUGGAAGAGACAGUAUUAUUGGCAAAAACUAAAAAUGUGAGUCAACUGGGGUAAAAUUGCUGAAUAUUGUAAUGAACAUUGCUCAUUUGAUCCUCCCCGUGAUGGAGAAGCAUUCAGAAAUCACUAUAAUUAUGUGAACAAAAGCGUGAACAAAUGGGCUGGCGCUUAUGAUAACGCUAAAUGUAUGCAACAAAGCGGGUGGUUGGAGGAUGAUGUAUUGGUAAAAGCGCAUGAAUUAUAUUCAAGUGCUGGUAAAAGAAGUUUCAAAUAGGAGGAAAUACUUAUUCUGGAAGCAGUGGAUCUAAAAGAGCCCACGAGAGUGAUGCUAGUGACUCAAACUCUGUAGGAUCUAGUGCUCGUCCAAUGGAAAGAGAUGCUGCUAAGAAAAAGCUAAAAAAAAAGGUAAAGGCGCAGCGUUGAAAGUGGUCAACGAAGAGUCGAACGAAUUUUAACAAUUCAAGGCACAAGAGUUGGAUAGGUUGGAGAAAAUAACUAUGAUGCACAGUGAAACAAACCAAUUGAUUAAGGAAAAGACUCAUGCUAAAAAGAUGAAGAUGUUUAUAGAGCUAACUGAAAAAGAGAAUCUCGAUGACAAGAGCAAAAAGCUAUUGCAACAAUUGAGCCACGAUCUAUUUGGAAAUUAAUUAUUGUCAAGUGGUUAUCUGUAUUUUGUCACUUCAUGCUUUAACGUGUGUUUGUCACUUUCUCCUUUAAUAAUUUGUAUUGUCAUGUUAUGCUUUAAUAAUGUGUGUUUGUCACUUUCUCCGUAAUUUGUAUUGUCUUCUAUGCUUUUUUUUUUUGUGCGAAAUAUUGUCUUAUAUGCUUUAUUAAUAUUAUCCAUGAUUUUAAAUAGAGAAUCUUAUCUUAUCCAUGACUUUUGGUUUGAAGCACUCAAUUCGAAUCCAAGGCACCAACAAUUUAAUUCGUUGUUUCCAUUUUUUUUAUAAAUUAGAACUCAUUCUUCCAUUGAUGUACAAACCAUAAAUCUUACCUUACUAAAAAUCUCAAUGGAUCCAUCAGAAUAUCCUUUUGACAUCAAAGCUUACAAGAGGCAGUCUGAAAUUGAAGAGAUGUAUAUCAUCAAUCGGUUUAGGGAGCGUCGAAACAAAAUAGGGGAAGACUAUCCACCUCGUAGCAAGAGAAAAUACUUUAAAAGAGACCAUGCAUCAGCAAAAUUAAAGAAUAUUGACGACUACUUUGCCAAUGAACCUAUAUAUGACGAUGCAAUGUUUCGUCGGUGAUUCCGGAUGAGAAAACAUAUUUUCUUUCGGAUCGUUGAAGACUUAUCAAACAGCGACAACUAUUUCACCCAACGAUAUGACGCAGCCAAGAAAGAAGGUAUAUCUCCAUUACCAAAAUAUACUACGACCAUGCGAAUGUUUGCAUAUGGUGUGGCAGCUGACGCGGUGGAUGAAUACAGUAAAAUUGGAGGUACUACUACUUUAGAGUGCUUGCGAAGAUUCUGUAAAGGAAUCAUAAAGCUGUAUGAGACAGAGUAUCUCAGAGCCCCAACUCAAGAUGACCUCCAAAGAAUUUUACGUGUUAGUGAGAUGCGAGGGUUUCCCGGGAUUAUUGGGAGUAUUAAUUGCAUGCAGUGGGAAUGGAAAACUUGUCCUACAGUGUGGGAAGGUCAAUUUACUCGAGGAGAUAAGGGAACCACCACUGUUAUUUCUGAAGCAGUUGCAUCUCAUGAUCUAUGGAUCUGGCAUGUUUUUUUGGAUGUCCGGGCACACUAAACGAUAUAAAUAUCCGUUCACCGGUGUUCGAUGAUGUUGAACAAGGAAAUACUACAAGAGUGAAUUUUUUUGUGAGCCAACAUCCGUAUAAUAUCGCUUACUAUCUAGCUGAUGGUAUUUAUCCUUCUUAUCCUACUUUCGUCAAAUCGAUUAGGCUACCUCAAAGUGAACCAGACAAGUUAUUUGUACAACGUCAAGAGGCGUGUCAUAAGGACAUCGAACGUGCAUUUGGAGUGCUGCAAGCUCGAUUUAAAAUCAUUCGUAAACCAGCUGGCCUGUGGGACAUAUUCGAGUUGGCUAUCAUCAUGAGAUCGUGUAUCAUAUUGCAUAAUAUGAUUGUUGAGGAUGAACGAGAGACAUAUGCUCAACACUGGACGGAUUAUGAUCAAUUUGAGGCAAGUGGGUCGAGUACACAACAACCAUUCUCGACCCAAGUGCUACUCCUAUUUGCAAAUCAUGUGCGUGAUAGAUCCAAAUUGCGUGAUUCAAAUGUACAUCACGAAUUGCAAGCAUAUCUAGUCAAACACAUAUGGGCACAAUUUAGAAUGUUCUUGUUGUCUGCUUAUUGUAUUUUUGUAUUUUAAAUUUGUGUUCAUUGUAUGUGUUUUAGUAAUAAUAAUUUUUUCUUCUCGUUUUAAUUAUUUGUAAAAGUUUUUAAAAAUAUUAUAUAAAAUAAAAACAAAUAUAAACACAACAAUACUUUAUAAAACUAUUUAAUGUUUAAUUCUUUUAAAUUUAAUUUGAUAUUAACGAUGGUUAAUAAUAUGUAAUCACAAAAAACAUAAACAUAAAUAAAAUGAAAAAUAUGGAAUAAAAAUGGUGGGGUAAGAUGUUGUAAUUUUACUAAACAAAAACUAUUGUAAAGAUAAAAAUUGGGUAGGUGUUGAAUAAUGAUGUGGAAGAAAGAGAAGAUGAUGUGGAGUGUUAAAAGUAAAAAAGUGGGUGUUGUAAAUGAGUAACCAUUGUGGAUAGUCUAAGGAUAAAAAUUGUAUAGGUGUUGAAUAAUGAUGUGGAAGAAAGAGGAGAUGAUGUGGAGUGUUAAAAGUAAAAAAGUGGGUGUUGUAAAUUAGUAACCAUUGUGGAUAGUCUUACAAUGGACACGUUGAAAAAAAUAUUUGAAUAUGGUGCAAUGGUUGUUUUAAUAAAUGUUGUAGAGGAUGUGGCAAAUUUGGUGAGUAGGGAAAAAUAUCGUUUAAUAUUCCAACUUUCAAAUUAUGGCCAUUUUAUACCUCAACUUUAUAUGUGACCAUUUUAAAUAUGAAGAUAUCGUUGACCAACCGUUUAAACCAUAAACAUUAGUUGACCAGGCUAAAAAAACUAACCGUUAUCACUCGUUAACAGAUUAUCUAACGUCCGUUAACAUCUCCAUUAGCUACCCCUAAACGACGUCGUUUUCAUAUUUUAAAAAUAAAUAACGAACGUAGGAUUCAAACUUGUAACCUAGAGAAAAACUAGAGACUUACUUAACACCCUCACCAACAGUAUUUUAUUGGUGAACUUUGAGAAACAUAUAUUUAUUAAAGUUUUCUCCUUCAACUUUAACCUACAAAACAAAACCAUCUCCAUAGCCGCCGCCUCCAAAUCCGUGUUCUCUCUCCAUUGAUUUUUUUAAUCUUAAUCAUAUAUUGUUUUUUGUUGAUUGAAAAAAAUUUGUAUUUGCUAAUUCAAUUCAUCUGGAACCUAUUUCUAUGAACACCAUUGAUGGAUUAGUCAAUUGAUAUGAAAUCAGUUACACAAACAGCACUAGUUCUUCGUCGUCUCACAUGCACCUUCGUUGUCUCACGUACACCUUGUGUAUAUGAUCUGUGAUUGCUCUUAAGCGGAUCUGAUGUAUUUAACGGCAUAAUAUAUAAUUAUGUGUUUCCGAAUAAUAAUUAUUAAACACUUUAUCUUAGUUGGUGUGGACAAGCAUAGGGAGCACUCGAAAGUUACGGGUUCGAAUCUUGAGUAAGUUAUUUCUUUUUAAAAUAUAAAAAUGACGUCGUUUAAGGGUAGCUAAUAGAUGUUAACGGACGUUAGAUAAUCUGUUAACGACUGAUAACAGAUAGUUUAUUUGGCCUGGUUAACGAAUGUUUAUGGUUUAAACGGUUGGUUAACGAUAUCUUCAUGUUUAAAAUGGCCACAUAUAAAAUUGUGGUAUAAAAUGGCCAUAAUUUGAAAGUUGGAGUAUUAAACGACAUUUUUCCUGUUGUAAUUUGUCAACACCGUGAAUUUUACUGGGUGGGGUUAUCUUUGUCUUGUGUUGUGUUUUCAUUGGUCACUAAAAUUUGACUUUUUCGUCCAAUAAUUUUUGAACUCAAUUAAAUUAUAAUAAACUUUUUUUUUUGUCAUCUGAUAAUUUAUUAAAGAAAAAAAUAAUAAAGUACAUAGUUAGAUCCAAAAGCCAAGUAGAACAGAAAGAGAAACAAAAUAAAAGAGAAACAACGAGAGAUACAAAAUGAAAUUUAAACUUUACUCUCCUCAAACACUUGAUUGUGAAACCAUGAAGGCUCUCCAAGUGCUAUGUAAGACUGAAACCUUCUUUCUUGAAUCACACUUCGAGAAAUGGAUCGCGCGAUCAGAUUUGCGUUUGUGGCAAUAUGACGGAAUGUACAAGAUUCAAAUGCACCAGCAAUCUCAUGGAUUUGUGCUAACCAAUUCCUGUAGAAAGGCCAUUUGGACGGCUGCAAAACGGCGUUAACUGCGGCUGGAUAUUCCAACUCUAUUAUCACCUUGGAGACGUGAAUAUCUUGAAAUGCUUUCAACGACCGUAGAAUGCAGCACAGCUCAGCCCCUGUUCGAUCUUGAAUUGGCGUAAACGCAUCUCGUGCAUGGUGUUUAGCUUGCCCUAUAUCUCUUACAAUUCAAGCUCCUCCACACAUCGAUUGUUUAUUUAUCCAAAAAGAAUUCAAAAUGCAUUUAAGAAUACCUUCUUGGGGUUUCCUCCAUUUGUUUCCAUCCAAAUUGGAGGUGAUUGCCGAGAGAAUACUGUUGAAGGCUACGUGUUCACCAUUUUCCAAUGCAUUGUGUCUUCAUACGCUUUUUGAACUAAAACAUGAAAAUUCCAUACCUUUACUUUGAAAACGGUAUGAUUACGAUUCUUCCAAAUUGCCCAUAGAACCCAUGGAAUUGAUAGUCGAGUUUGCUUUGGUAUGUGCUUGUCUUCGAUAACAUUCAAUAGAUGAGAGAAGUUUGCUAGUAAGGUUGUUGAAGAAAAACCUUGAUCCGAAGCUUGCACAAAAUGCUGAGAUUAAUAUGCUUAAAAGGAGAAUAUGGAAUCUAAAAUCUGAGCCACAAAUCAAGCUUUUCUGUUGGCGUGCUCUUUCUGGUGCUUUGGCUGUGGCAGAACGUUUAAGCUCACAGGGAAUACAACAUGACACAAAGUGCCAAAUUUGUGGUAUAGCUACAAAAACAAUAUGUCAUACUCUAUUCUCUUGUGACGUAUAGAAUAAGAAAAUGAUGAAUUUUGGUGUAAAUUAUUUAUGUAUCUAAUAGUAGUUAUUAAAAAAACCAUUGUAGUAUAUGAAAGUAAACUGAAUGUUGAAUGAUGAUGUGUAAGAGAGAGAAGAUGAUGUGUAGGUUGUUGUAAUUUUAAACCAAUGUAAAUAGUCUAAUAAAAAAAUAUUUGGGUUCACCCCACUCUUGUUCACCCUCUCUUAAUAAGCCAAUCAAAAUACAACAAAAUGCCAUGUCGUUUAAUAUUUAACAAUUAAAAUAUUUGGGUUCACCUCUAGGGUGGUUAAAGUUUAGAUUUUAUAAAUAAUUGAAAAUAUAUUUUGGUUGAGUUUAUAAAAUAGUGGUUAGAGUUUAAAUUUUAUAAAUAAACAAAAUUAUAUUUCGGUUUGGAUUGAUAAAAUAGUGGUUAGGUUUAGAUUUUGUAAUUAAACGAAAUUAUAUUUCGGUUUGGGUUGAUAAAAUAGUGAUUAGGUGUUAGAUUUUGUGAUUAAACUAAAUUAUAUUUUGGUUUUGGUUGAUAAAAUAGUGGUUAAAGUUUAGAUUUUGUGAUUAAACGAAAUUAUAUUUUAGUUUGGGCUGAUAAAAUAGUGGCUAGACUUUAGAUUUUGUAAUUUAAUUAAUUUAUUUUUUCAAUAUAUGAUAUGUCAAAUUCUAAUUGGUCAUUAAAAAAUGGUGAACCCAAGAAUUGUUCUUGUAAUAAUUAAACUUCUUAGAACAACAAAAAUUUACAAUAAAUUUAUAAAAGGAACAAUUAAAAAAAAAAAAAGGAGCAAAAAGCAUGAUAAAAGCUGAGAGAGGAAACUUAAAAAGCACACUUGUUUCCAAAACUAAAUAGGGUCAGUCCCAAAAUUGGAUUUGUAUAGUAACAAAUGAAUAACGGAAAAGAGAGUUUCAAGAUCUACGAACAACAGCAGUAGCGAAAUAAGGAUGAUGGGUGAACUCAAACGAUACCUUAAGCGAACGGUCUUGACAGAAAAGGUUCACAGCAACAAUAUUGCGUUCCGCGACUUUCUCUAAUCCCGUGACUUCAGCCAGCUUAUCAGGAUCGUUGGCGUAACCGACCUUUAUGUCCUUAGCGAUCUUUUGAGCAUCGUGAAAGUACUCAUACAUAGGAAGAUACUGCAGCAAAAGUAAAUAGAUACAACUUUACUUGCAUGUUCAAAACUCUUUCUAAUCGAACAUAGUAGAUUUAUACGUGUACACAUUCAUCACUAAAACAUUGUAAACAUUACCUAUGUUAUUAUUUGCUCAAUGAAGAUUGGGAUCUCAAUUUUCAUGUGUUUAUAUUUAUUAAUCAAGUUAUUGCUUUUAAGCAAAUAGUUAACUAAUAAAUCCUACAUAGAUAUAUUUUAAAUAAACUGUGAAUCCUAAAUUUUUCCGUAUUUUCCGAAUUACCUGAACCGAACUCAAGAUUUUGCGAUUUAUGGUAUUAAAGCAGAUAGUGAUUGUAGGUACCCGGACUACCUUUACAGUACUCGAUUCCCUAUCACCCAACCAAUUUUUUUAAGUGUAUGCUUCGGGUAGUAGAUUUAGAUAUACCUGAAAUAACCAUAUCCAACCCUUACCAGCUAUUACCUGACUCUAUACCCUAAAUGCACAUGCCUACUUCUACAAUUCAUUUGACCAAGUAAACAGGAUUAAGCACAAAAACAAAGUUGAAUAAAGCACACUUACGUCGAGACGAGCAUGGGAUGUGGAUUUUGAGAACGAUUCAUAUGCGUCAUAUUCUGGAAGGGAUGCCUUCUGAAGGAGUUCAAAAUGCUGUAUAAAUUUCUGCAUGUCAAGGAAAAUGGGUAGUUGAAGUCAUACACAGGAAGGGAUAAAACCACUCACCCAUUACUAAGGCUGAGGAUUUUUAUCUUACACAUUAAUUCAAUAACUAUGCAACAGAUAAAGAGACUUAUGCUUACCUCAUUUUCGGUAUUAAAAGGUCCUUGACUCUUUAAAGACAUUCCUUCAUUUCUCAAAGCUGCAAUCAUCUACGGGUAAAUACACAAGGUUUGGUCAGGUUUAGAGUACUUGAUAUCAGCAAUAGAAGGAGCUGGAAACCAAGAGAUUGAAGACAAAAUUACCACUGUGAGGCCUUGUGCAAGACAGGUCUGACAUUUGAGAAACAAUACCCAUAGACUAAUCCGAUCUUCCCGAGCCAUGUCCCUAGAAUACUCCUUAUUCCUCUUUGCUUUUCUUUCCUCUGAUCCAGAUGAAGGUAAAUGCAUUAUAAAAAGCUACAAAUACACACUAUGCAGUUAUGCCAAACCAAUUACUGUACAGAUGGUUCAUCUCCGAAACACUAGGACACAAAAUAAAAACAAAUGGAUAUAUGAAUGCUUACCAGUGUUCACAACGAUUAAGACCCUGAAACGUGCUCUUUCGGCAAGCUUCCAGAGUAUAAUAUACAUGUACCAGUAUACCAUGCAAUAUUCACUUGGCGAGUAGAGGUCUAGGUCAAAUCCCAGCAUGAGAAAGCGAAUUGCCACCCAAUUAAUUUGCUCUUCUAAUCCACCAUAUAUAUGGUUUAAAAUGAGUAGAGACUUAUCCUGAAAGGUACAUAAAUGCAAGUUAACACAAAAUUCAAUAUCUGCUUAUCAAUAGAGCCAAAAUUUUCCGAAAGAGAAAACAGAAGUUGUAGGAAUUUUGACUACUGGUUUGUUCAUGCUAACAAUGAAUAGACAGCCGUCAACUAGAUUCAGAUAGAGGUUUGAUUAAAUGGACCCAUAGUGAUGGUAGUAAACCUACCCCAUUUUUCGAACUGCGUGAUGUAUCUUGCUGCAUCAUUUGACCAACAGCAAUCCCCAUCUGCCAAAUACAGGAAAAUGUAUGAAUGAGAUCUUGACACAAAAACCCAAAUCAAUAUGCAAACAAUUUUAGGGUAAGCGAGCUUACAUAUAGUUAAGUAAAGAAUAAUACAGUUCCAACAAAGGCACAAAUGGUAUAACCUGCACAUGGAAUACGCUCCAGUCAUUUAAGAUUUUCCCAAGCUUACGCCUCUGCCAUGGGGUAUUAGCGCAUAGUAUUUUAAGUAGAUUAACCAUCAACUGCACCACAAAAUGAGAAUAGAGAUCAAACAGAGAUUUCUAAGAAAGGAGCCAGUUGAAUAAUUAUCUAACUUUUUCAGGAUCCAGAGGCUACCAAAACCACAAAACAUAGACAAGGCAUUCUCAUCAAAGUCCCCAUUAAAACAAAUAAUUUUUUGUUGUUUCAAUCUUCUUGAUGAUUGCAAAUUAGUUACAUCCACACAUGCUGAAAUUCUCUGAGAUUGGGGCUUAUACGCCAGACACCGAAUAUUGAACAAAACCAAUGAAAGAUUAUUCUUUUCAAGGUUUUACCAAGUUCCAAACUCUUUUCAAGGAAGAAUAAAGAGCUACCUCAUACACGUUUGUAGAAAAAAAUGUACCCAACGUAUUCUUUUAAUAUACUGUGUUUACCUGAUUAAGUUGAAGAAUGUACUCAUUCGUAUGGAGGCCAUGGUUCUUGGAGACAUCUAAUGCAAGAGAUCUGGCGCAAAUUGUCAAAAAGGUAUCACGGCCGUAAAGUUUCCCAUCUUGCACAAGGAGAAGCUGUAGAACAAGAUUAUUUAUUGAGUAUAAAAGGUAAAAGCAUUUUGC